AAUUAUUUCAGUUUCUUUUUACUAUGUACUUAUGUGAUGAUUGGGGUUUAGUGAUUGUAGAUCAUAGUUGAACCAGGUUAUUACAUUGUCUAUCUUUUAGAAAUUAUUAUUAUAUUUUCUUUAUCUUCUCUCUGUUUUUCUUGCAGCCUGGGCAUUUCCAACGCGAUACUUCUGACAUAGUAUCCGCCUUUCAGAAGACCUGCGUUUUGGAAGAAGACCUGCAUCCGUCUGGUUUGUUUUGAGAUCGAUCUCAAUUAUUUAGAGGUUGCUGAUAGGUUUUCAAUUCGACCGGGAGGAGGAGCAAGGGGACGGGAGGAGCAUCAAUCUGGAUAGGGUAAGAUCUACGUGAUUGCUGCUAAGAAGUCUUCAGCGAAAGGUGGUAACUACGAAAAGAACAAAAUUCAGCGGCUUCAACUCAUUCUCGAAAAGGUCUGAUCCUUCCAUUGGAUACUAUGUUUUAUGAGUUAUGAUCAAAGUCGUGAUUGUUACAGCAUCUUCAGUGACAAGCUAGGGUUAGGUUCUCUUAGAAGUUGAGCUUGCCAUAGAUGUCUUAUUGCUUGCAGUUUGAAUUCCAAUUCUAAUUUAUAAACUUUGUAAUUCAAUAUUGAAAUUGGUAUAGUUAAUAAUUAGAUUGAUUUUGUAAUGUGACCUUUGAAUGCUUUUGAGUUGUUGUAUGAAAUGUUAGCUGAAUUGUACAUUUGAAACUUGAAUUUUCUCACGUGGAACACAAGAAAAUUCUUUAAGGAUGAAAGACCUCUAGAUUUGGAAGGCAGUUUCUUAAUCUUUUUUCCAAGAAAAGUUUGCCCUGUAAGUUUUACUUCUUUCUUUUCUUAAUCAUUGGUGUUAUGACUCUUAUAGUUCUAUUCAAUUUCCCAAGUUUAAUACUUUGCUUUGAAUACUGAUGCACUUGGCUUCUGUUCUUGGAUGCAUAGUACAAAGCCUUGAAUACUGAUAAGCUUUGCCUCUGUUGAGAUUGUGAUCUCAUAUUCUAGAGGACUUCAGCUGUUGUUCGUUUUUGUUAAGGUUAUGUAUUUAUUGUGAUGUAUUUCGGUGCGCAACACAAAGUAGAAGAAAACUGACUAUACUGCAUGGUUCUCUUUUACCAAUCUUGCUGAAUUGCUCAGUGAGUUAAUUUCAUUCUCUUGCAAUUGCUUGCAUUUGUUCUUUAAUUAGGAAUUUGAGAGGUUAACUGACAUAUAUAUUAGCAUCCUGUUGACAUAUAUUUGAUAGAUUUAAAGUCAAGUAUAUAUUAAAAGGGUUAGCAAUCAGUGUUAUGUUCAAGUUGUCAUGCCAAACUCAGAAACAAAACAAAGAAGGGACUAAUACAUUCGGUAGAUAAAAAGUCCAAAUCUCUUGAAAACUGAAGGUGAUGCUCAUAUAGAAACUAAACUUUGUAAAACAAAGUGUAAGCAAUGUUUGUUUUAUUGAUCAGCUUAUGUGCAUUUUCAUUUACUAAUAAUGAAUAGAAGCAUGGCUUUCAUAAAUUACAAAAGUAACUGCUGCGAAGAUGAUUGUUGUUUUCAUAUUGGGGUUUUUGUAUAGUACUUUCGUUUGUUUUGUGGCUUCAUUAGGUGAGAAAAAGUUUUGGCCUAGGAAAGGGAGCCAUUUUCAAAUUUUCUGGAAUUUUGACCCAGUCACUUACUUUUGCAAAACUGUACUGAUCUACUGGGAAUUUGAAGUCUGUUCCUUUUAAAGAGUUUUAGUAGACAUCUUAAAGAGUCAUGUAGAACUAGAAUCACCCAAAAUGGAAUUUUCUGGAAUUAGUUAUGAAUUUUCAAAGUCAGGAGUCACUCGCAGAAAUUUCUUAUAUCAGCUUCCCAACUUCAGCCAAAAGGCAGACUCCUAUAACACCCAUUGAUUCAAAAAGGGCCUCUUAUUUGUAUCCAGAUUACGUCUUAUAUACCUCAGUGCAUAUGUAGUGUUGUGUUAAUUUAAAACAUAACAUAUUUAUUCUUGACUCUCUCCUUUUCUCUCUCUAUAUCAUUUUUGGUAAGAAGAAGAAAAAAGUUGAUGCCUGUAGUACAUGGAUUCCACUUAUGGUAAUGUACUGCUUCAUCUCAUACCCUCGCUUUAUAAUUUUGUAGUAGCACUUAAUCAAUUCAAAGUAGUUCUGGUGUUUAAUAUCAACUUCUCUAGUAGUCUAGCUCUUGCUAUAAUUCCAUAUUAGAUUGAGAAAAAUUUGUCAAAUAUGCAUUGUGGAAUUUAAUGAUCAACCAUUUUACCUUGCAGGGACUGAGAUUGGUAGAACUUCAGAAUGGCAAUGAUGCACUUAACCUCAGGAAAGAUCCAAGAUUUUGGUCAAUUUUUGGAAGAAGCUUUAGCUUUGUUUCAGAGGAAGUGGCUGCUAAAAUUUUGAUCCAAAACUGUUUCAUUCAGUUAUCUAAAAUUCUGCUCGAGUGAGUUUUUUCUUUCUAAAUUUUGUGUAUUAGUAUAAUAACAUGUGAAUGAAAAUAAUUUGGCUUUA